AUUGGGUUGGCCAAAAAGUUCGUUCAGGUUUUUCUGUAACAUCAUACGGAAAAACCCAAAUGAACUUUUUGGCCAAUCCAAU
rnacentral:miRNA from 1 species